ACUCAAAUGAAUUGACGGGGGUCCGCACAAGCGGUGGAACAUGUGGUUUAAUUCGAUACUACGCGAGAAACCUUACCUGGGCUUGACAUGUUUUUGACUGUCAUAGAAAUAUGAUUUUCUAGGUGAAAGCCUAGACAGAUUCACAGGUGCUGCAUGGCUGUCGUCAGCUCGUGUCGUGAGAUGUUGGGUUAAGUCCUCUAACGAGCGCAACCCUUGCUGCCAGUUGCUACUUUGUGAAAAGGCACUCUGGUGGGACUGCCUAGGAAACUAGGAGGAAGGCGGGGAUGACGUCAAGUCCGCAUGGUCCUUAUGCCCAGGGCUACACACGUGUUACAAUGGGUAAUACAAAGCGUUGCAAACUCGUAAGAGUAAGCCAAUCGCAUAAAGUUACUCUAAGUUCGGAUUGAGGUCUGCAACUCGACCUCAUGAAGCUGAAAUCGCUAGUAAUCGUAUAUCAGAACGAUACGGUGAAUACGUUCCCGGACCUUGUACACACCGCCCGU
rnacentral:rRNA from 1 species